GAGCCUCGGUAGCGCAGUUGCUUAGCGCACCCUCUCGUAAAGGGUGACAUGAGGGUUCGAUUCCCGUUGACGUUCA